rnacentral:rRNA from 1 species
AACGCGAAGAACCUUACCUACUCUUGACAUCCAGAGAACUUUCCAGAGAUGGAUUGGUGCCUUCGGGAACUCUGAGACAGGUGCUGCAUGGCUGUCGUCAGCUCGUGUUGUGAAAUGUUGGGUUAAGUCCCGCAACGAGCGCAACCCUUAUCCUUUGUUGCCAGCGGUUAGGCCGGGAACUCAAAGGAGACUGCCAGUGAUAAACUGGAGGAAGGUGGGGAUGACGUCAAGUCAUCAUGGCCCUUACGAGUAGGGCUACACACGUGCUACAAUGGCGCAUACAAAGAGAAGCGACCUCGCGAGAGCAAGCGGACCUCAUAAAGUGCGUCGUGGUCCGGAUUGGAGUCUGCAACUCGACUCCAUGAAGUCGGAAUCGCUAGUAAUCGUAGAUCAGAAUGCUACGGUGAAUACGUUCCCGGGUCUUGUACACACCG